GCGAAGCCUGAUCCAGCCAUGCCGCGUGAAUGAUGAAGGCCUUAGGGUUGUAAAAUUCUUUCAGCAGGGAAGAUAAUGACGGUACCUGCAGAAGAAGCCCCGGCUAACUCCGUGCCAGCAGCCGCGGUAAUACGGAGGGGGCUAGCGUUGUUCGGAAUUACUGGGCGUAAAGCGCUCGUAGGCGGAUUGGUCAGUCAGGGGUGAAAGCCCGGAGCUCAACUCCGGAACUGCCUUUGAUACUGCCAGUCUUGAGUUCGGGAGAGGUGAGCGGAAUACCGAGUGUAGAGGUGAAAUUCGUAGAUAUUCGGUGGAACACCAGAGGCGAAGGCGGCUCACUGGACCGAUACUGACGCUGAGGAGCGAAAGCGUGGGGAGCAAACAGGAUUAGAUACCCUGGUAGUCCACGCCGUAAACGAUGAGAGCUAGUUGUCUGGCAGCAUGCUGUUAGGUGACGCAGCUAACGCAUUAAGCUCUCCGCCUGGGGAGUACGGCCGCAAGGUUAAAACUCAAAUG
rnacentral:rRNA from 1 species